rnacentral:rRNA from 1 species
UUCGUAGGGUGCAAGCGUUGUCCGGAAUUAUUGGGCGUAAAGAGCUCGUAGGCGGUCUGUCGCGUCUGCUGUGAAAACUCGGGGCUUAACCCCGGGCCUGCAGUGGGUACGGGCAGACUAGAGUGCGGUAGGGGAGAGUGGAAUUCCUGGUGUAGCGGUGAAAUGCGCAGAUAUCAGGAAGAACACCUAUGGCGAAAGCAGCUCUCUGGGACGGUACUGACGCUGAGACGCGAAAGCGUGGGGAGCGAACAGG